GGAGUUAGCCGGUGCUUCUUCUGUGAGUGAUGUCCUUCCUGCCGGCUAUUAACCCGCAGGCCUUCUUCCUCACUGAAAGUGCUUUACAACCCGAAGGCCUUCUUCACACACGCGGCAUGGCUGGAUCAGGGUUGCCCCCAUUGUCCAAUAUUCCCCACUGCUGCCUCCCGUAGGAGUCUGGGCCGUGUCUCAGUCCCAGUGUGGCUGAUCAUCCUCUCAGACCAGCUACGGAUCGUCGCCUUGGUGAGCCGUUACCUCACCAACCAGCUAAUCCGACAUAGGCUCAUCCGAUAGCGCGAGGCCCGAAGGUCCCCCGCUUUCCCCCGUAGGGCGUAUGCGGUAUUAGCCUGGGUUUCCCCAGGUUAUCCCCCACUACCGGGCAGAUUCCUAUGCAUUACUCACCCGUCCGCCGCUCGCCACCAGGGAGCAAGCUCCCCGUGCUGCCGCUCGACUUGCAUGUGUUAGGCCUGCCGCCAGCGUUCAAUCUAAGCCAUAAUACAAACUCUGA
rnacentral:rRNA from 1 species